AGACAAUGGCAGAAACCGGCGGUCUAUCUCGGAAAGUAAUCGCAAUUGCCGCCGGUGAAGCUCACACUCUUGCUCUCACUGGUGACGGUAAUGUGUAUUCAUGGGGUAGAGGAACUUUCGGCCGGCUCGGCAACGGUUCAGAGCGCGAUCAGCUUUUCCCUGUGAAAAUAGAAUUCAAAUUGACUGAUAAGAGAGAUAGGGUCAAAAUUAUUGGAAUAUCUGCCGGCGCUUAUCACAGUCUAGCUCUUGCUGAUGAUGGUUCGGUUUGGAGCUGGGGUUACAAUAGCUAUGGUCAACUUGGUGAUGAUGGGGAGAAUUCUUUCGUUCCCUGUUUGGUGAAGCUGCCUAUGACUGAUGGAUCAGUAACUAAGAAUGAAACGGCCCCUAAGAUUUCUUCUGUGAAAGCUGGAAGUAUGAUGUCACUAGCAAUCAAUGAUAGUGGGUCUCUCUGGAUGUGGGGCAACUGCCCAGUACAGGAAACCUCUAGCGAAGGGGGAUUUUCACUUACCCCAACAUCUACUCCAAUAUCCAUUUGGAAUUUCCAUGGUCACACUGUGGUUAAGGUGGCAUGUGGUAGUGAGCACAUUGUAACAUUAGUCAGCGCUGGAGAAAAACGUGAAGGUGGUGAUCUGGUAUGCUAUACUUGGGGUAACAACAAUCAUGGGCAGCUAGGCCUUGGAGAUACAGAGGCGAGGUCAAAUCCUCGAAUGGUUGAAAAAUUCAACACAGGGUCACCUUGGGCAGCUUAUGAAGUAGCAUGUGGAGCAUUCCAUACUUGUGUACUUGCUUAUAGAAAGACGGAGAGUGUUGCCUUAGAAAGUGUAUGCUGGACUUUUGGUCGUGGUGAUAACGGGCAGCUUGGUCAGGGAACCACUAAAAAGUCAUUGUACCCUGAAAUGGUUGAAGGGUUGCCUGAAAAUUCACUCUUACUUUCUGUCGACUGUGGUUUAUUCCACACCAGUGUGGUUUCAUCAUCUGGGAAUGUUUGGUCAUGGGGAAUGGAAAACGGACUUGGACUAUGUCCUGAAGCCACUUUUACAGAAAGUGAUGGUGGAGAUAUACUUACUCCUCGCUUAAUCAAUGAGGUAUUUGGCGCGAAAUUUCCCGAACCUGUUCAAGUAGCUUGUGGUGCUGCGCAUACUGUUCUUCUUGCAGAUAGUGGACACAAGCUUUGGGCUUGGGGGAGGGGAAGAAAUGGGGUCCUUGGAAAUGGUCAAGAAAUUGACUUUUUUGCCCCAAAGGAUGUGUUGUGGCCCCAACCAGACGAGAAGGGUCUGGGAACUUUUGCGAAUGAAGUUAGUGUGGAAAGGGAUCCUGAAGAAACUACAGAGAAUGAGAAGAAAUUAUCUGCUGUGAUGCAAGAGAUGAAUCUUCUCCAGUCUAAGCUUUCUAUAAUGGAGCGUUACGCCAGCAUUCUUCAUGGUUCUAUUUUUGGAAAGCCUUUUGAAGAAGAUAGAGAUAUACCAGUCUCAUUACGGAACUCGGGUACAUUUGAGAUUGCCAAAGAGUGGGAGAAUAUGUUGGAAUCGUGUGAUCGUGGUAAGCUCAUACGUUUGCAGAUGUUUUAUCGGAACAUGCUUGYUGGUGUGGAAGAUAAGAUGACGAAGCAAAGGAUUAAGGAGAUGAUCAAAGAAUGUCUUGAAUCAUCAGCAAGUACUACUCGCUAAACUGUUUUUCUGGUGGCCUUUGGGAUGUAGGAAGCUGUGAAGUUAYCAAUGGCAGGUGGAAAAAAGCAGCUAUCGACACAUAUAAUGGUCGUUAGUACACUGAUGCUCCCUUUUUGUGCUUUCACUAUGAUUACCCCCAUUCUCUUGUUAUACGGAAUUACAGUGGCAUUCUUCUUUGUUUCUUUCGGAAAUCUAGCUUUCAACGCUGCUUCACCUCGCAAAGCUAUUAUACAGAGAGAGAGAGGUUUGUAAGUCUACAUAUGAAUAAAUAGUUCGUCAAUCACCAAUCCCACGAGCAAUGUUCUCUUGUUCGUACAGGCCAAUUUUGUUGAGGACUAAUUUCUAUGGAAAUUGAUAAUUUAAGUUGCAGCUCUGAGAGUCAGCAUUGGAAUAACUCAUUGACUAUUAAAAUGAAUUGUGUUUGGUACCACCACAAUUUUGAAUAACCUUCUCAUGAACUAAAACCUUCUCCUCUGUUGCCUGCUGGUUGUUGCUCCCUGCUUCUACUUGGUAUGCUUUUCCUUGCUGAAUUUUUGUGCUUUGCUCUGUAUAUCUUUGAUUUGCAAGAUUUUCUUUGCUCUGUUUUUAUUUUUGCUUUUCUUUGUUGACGAGGGAUUUAUAAGGUUGGGACGGAAACUAGUGUUCUUAGGGGUUGUUUACCCGAUAAGCACUU